CGACAUUGUGACAGCGGCCUGAUGUUUUUGAAGUUGCACUAAUGGGGGAUCUAAAGAUGACAUCGACUCUAAAAGUAUAUUGUUCCGGUGUUGAAGAGGCCACGUCGAGGGGGGAUGUCAUUAUGACAUUGGUUUCGACAUUAGAGGAUAUCACCGACGACGAUGGAUCAAUACUCUAACAGCCACAUAAACGACUCUUCUGGUGUGCCUCUUAAUGAUUGAAGUGUUCAAUUUCUCACCCACUAUGCUUGUGAAUAUGAUAUAUCAAUUUUAUAUCGGUCAGCGAUAUCUGCAAUGAUCUCUUUUGAUUGAUAAACACGAUCAACUAAUAUAAA